UACGUAGGGGGCAAGCGUUGUCCGGAUUUACUGGGUGUAAAGGGUGCUCAGGGGGCUUGGAAAGUCAGUGGUGAAAUCUGAGAGCUUAACUCUCAAACUGCCAUUGAUACUUCUUAGCUUGAGUACGGAAGAGGCUGAUGGAAUUUCAGGUGUAGCAGUGAAAUGCGUAGAUAUCUGAAAGAACACCAGUGGCGAAGGCGGUCAGCUGGUCCGUUACUGACACUAAAGCACGAAAGCGUGGGUAGCAAACAGG
rnacentral:rRNA from 1 species